rnacentral:rRNA from 1 species
UUCCGGUUGAUCCCGCCAGACCCGACUGCUAUCAGAAUAGGACUAAGCCAUGCGAGUCAACGUAGCAAUACGUGGCAUACGGCUCAGUAACACGUAGUCAACAUGCCCAGAGGACGUGGAUAACCUCGGGAAACUGAGGAUAAACCGCGAUAGGUCAUAAUAUCUGGAAUGAUUUAUGGUUUAAAUCUAUAUGGCCUCUGGAUUGGACUGCGGCCGAUCAGGCUGUUGGUGAGGUAAUGGCCCACCAAACCUAAAACCGGUACGGGCUCUGAGAGGAGAAGCCCGGAGAUGGGCACUGAGACAAGGGCCCAGGCCCUAUGGGGCGCAGCAGGCGCGAAAACUCUGCAAUAAGCGAAAGCUUGACAGGGUUAUUCUGAGUGAUUUCCGCUAAGGAAAUCUUUUGGCACCUCUAAAAAUGGUGCAGAAUAAGGGGUGGGCAAGCCUGGUGUCAGCCGCCGCGGUAAUACCAGCACCCCGAGUGGUCGGGACGAUUAUUGGGCCUAAAGCAUCCGUAGCCGGUUCUACAAGUCUUCCGUUAGAUCCACCUGCUUAACAGAUGGGCUGCGGAGGAUACUAUGGAGCUAGGAGGCGGGAGAGGCAAGCGGUACUUAGUGGGUAGGGGUAAAAUCCGUUGAUCCAUUGAAGACCACCAGUGGCGAAGGCGGCUUGCCAGAACGCACUCGACGGUGAGGGAUGAAGGCUGGGGGAGCAAACCGGAUUAGAUACCCGGGUAGUCCCAGCUGUAAACGAUGCAGACUCGGUGAUGAAUAGGCUUCGUGCCUAUUCAGUGCCGCAGGGAAGCCGUUAAGUCUGCCGCCUGGGGAGUACGGUCGCAAGACUAAAACUUAAAGGAAUUGGCGGG